UUCUCAUUAGGCUAUCGCGCAGCCCAUUAGGUGGCUUCUGCCUUAUCUAGAAAUUCAUUGCCUUCUCAUUGGGUGGCCUAUCACCCCCUUGUCUUCUUUUUUCGAUUCAGUCUUUAGAUGCUCCUAGGGUCUUUUGGGAGCCUUCGGGCCUUUUUCCUAUGUUCGAAAGAAAAAAAAUAGUGUUAGAAAUGGAAAGCAGUGUUUUUCGCACUUUGGAGUAAGCUUGGUACGUAGGUUCCCCGGGACAAAUUUACAAGGCAUAGAAGACAAAGCGUUCCAAAAGGAAAAACAUGUUUACCCACGCAGUGACGAUAAUUGGUUUUGGAAUUACUGAUCGUGGUGAAAAUUUUUAUGAGAUUCAAAAUUCAGCUGGCAACGAUUGGGGAGAAGAUGGGUAUGGUUAUGUCUCGAGGGAUUUGUUUGAGAGCCCACAUUCAGAAAAAUGUUCCCCGAGUACGUGGAGAAGUACGAACAGCAGCAGCUAUCUAAUCAGCCGGUUUCCUAGCAAGUGUCACAAGUCCCUACUCAGCAAGAAAACUCCACACCUUUGUUAGAUAAAAAAAGGUGAAUCUAAACAAGAGGACCAGAAUAAGGUUGAAGCCUCAAGGGAUCUCAAAAACCGAGCGAAGAAAUCUAUCCCAACCUGGAUGCUGUUGUUACUGGUUUCCAUCUUUGGUGCUGUUACGGCAUUGCCAUUGCUUCAACUUCGACAUUGAGACAUCAAGGAGCAGAUGAUCUUAUUAGGACAGUGAACAUGCUGCUUCUUCUGGAACAUCAAUGGACUCCUGUUUUAAGUCCAUAAUAUGUUAGGUUUUUCGUGUAUCUAACAGAACUUGUAUAGGGUAUGUAAAUGGAAGAGGAAUACUCUCGGCUGAUAUGAUUUCUCUUUUUAUUUUACUGCUGGCAUAUGGUUUGUCAAACAUUUGGAGUAUGCAUGCUUGUGAUGUUGUUUCUCCACAUCACGUAAAUUCAGGUUUAUGAAGGCUAGGUCAUUACCUCAAUCUUCCCAAAUAAACAUGUAUCGGUUGAGGUUGAUGUGCGAGUCUAUAUGACAUCGGUCAUAAAGCUAUAUUACAGCACCAUGUUAGUAUGGUACUGCGGUUUCAGGUUUCUAGAUAA